UUGGAUCCAAAAUAUUCUUUAAAGUUUAAUUGUUAUUAUUUUUUUCUAGAUAUUUUUGGAGUGCUGUGAAUUAGUCUAGUGAUGUCAAAGGGAGUGAAUAAGAUGAGGAGACUGCAGAACAAAAUUCAUAUUCCAAACUGAGUUCUUCUGUCCCCCUCCUUUCUCAUUCCUGUAUUACCUGAUGCAGAACUGAAUGAGUUUCCUGCCAGGAAGUUGAGUGUUCCUUCUUAAAUAAAGAAAGUAAGAGAUUUUGAAAUGUGGGCUGUGAUAAUGCUUCUGCUGUGUAGGAGGGAGGGGAUGUCCUCUUUUCCUUCAAGAACAUUCAGAGUUGGUUUGGCCAUAAUAACUCCCAUAAUACUAGUCACAGAAAAUACUUUUGAGGAUCCUUGUGACGAACAUCACAGAUUUCUAUUUCUGUGUGUAGAAUUAAACAUGGAAACUACACAUCUAUGAAGAAUAUUUUUAGUAUUUGAAUGGUUUUUGAAAAUACUGUUUUUUGAAUGCUAAGGGAGAAGUCAAGUAAGCAGUUUGCUGAUGCUGUGUGCUGUUACCUUUCAGUGAGACUGAAGAAACCAGGUUCAGAUAAGGGAGAACUCCAUCUGUUCUCUAUGCUGUCUGGGCAGAGAUAAGUUAGAUCCAAGAGCCUUUCGUUGAAACUGAAACUAUGCCCUCCAAAAAUAAAUGAGCCCUCUCUCAGAGCA
rnacentral:lncRNA from 1 species